UACGAAGGGUGCAAGCGUUAAUCGGAAUUACUGGGCGUAAAGCGCGCGUAGGUGGUUUGUUAAGUUGGAUGUGAAAGCCCCGGGCUCAACCUGGGAACUGCAUCCAAAACUGGCAAGCUAGAGUAUGGCAGAGGGUGGUGGAAUUUCCUGUGUAGCGGUGAAAUGCGUAGAUAUAGGAAGGAACACCAGUGGCGAAGGCGACCACCUGGGCUAAUACUGACACUGAGAUGCCAAAGCGUGGGGAUCUAACCGGAUUAGAUACCCGUGUAGUCC
rnacentral:rRNA from 1 species